rnacentral:rRNA from 1 species
ACACGUGGGUAACCUGCCCGUAAGACGGGAUAACUCCGGGAAACCGGAGCUAAUACCGGAUAACACCGAAGACCGCAUGGUCUUUGGUUGAAAGGCGGCUUCGGCUGCCACUUACGGAUGGGCCCGCGGCGCAUUAGCUAGUUGGUGAGGUAACGGCUCACCAAGGCGACGAUGCGUAGCCGGCCUGAGAGGGUGACCGGCCACACUGGGACUGAGACACGGCCCAGACUCCUACGGGAGGCAGCAGUAGGGAAUCUUCCGCAAUGGACGAAAGUCUGACGGAGCGACGCCGCGUGAGCGAAGAAGGUCUUCGGAUCGUAAAGCUCUGUUGUUAGGGAAGAAGAAGUGCCGUUCGAACAGGGCGGCACGGUGACGGUACCUAACGAGAAAGCCCCGGCUAACUACGUGCCAGCAGCCGCGGUAAUACCGUAGGGGGCGAGCGUUGUCCGGAAUUAUUGGGCGUAAAGCGCGCGCAGGCGGUCCCUUAAGUCUGAUGUGAAAAGCCACGGCUUAACCGUGGAGGGUCAUUGGAAACUGGGGGACUUGAGUGCAGAAUGAGGAGAGCGGAAUUCCACGUGUAGCGGUGAAAUGCGUAGAGAUGUGGAGGAACACCCAGUUGGCGAAGGCGGCUCUCUGGUCUGUAACUGACGCUGAGGCGUGAAAGCGUGGGGAGCAAACAGAAUUAGAUACCCUGGUAGUCCACGCCGUAAACGAUGAGUGCUAAGUGUUAGAGGGGUUACCCCUUUAGUGCUGUAGCUAACGCGUUAAGCACUCCGCCUGGGGAGUACGGCCGCAAGGCUGAAACUCAAAGGAAUUGACGGGGGCCCGCACAAGCGGUGGAGCAUGU